AACAAGGCGUACCUGCGGACCUGCGGAAGGAUCAUUACAGAGUUGCAAAACUCCCACAAACCAUCGCGAAUCUUACCCGUACGGUUGCCUCGGCGCUGGCGGUCCGGAAGGCCCUCGGGCCCCCGGACCCUCGGGUCCCCCGCUCGCGGGGGGCUGCCCGCCGGAGUGCCGAAACCAAACUCUUGAUAUUUUAUGUCUCUCUGAGUAAACUUUUAAAUAAGUCAAAACUUUUAACAACGG
rnacentral:misc_RNA from 1 species